UGUUUUGUUAAUUCACUAAAAACGAAAAUUCGUUACCUACAAGUUUUACAAAAACAACCGUGAGUAUGACUUUUAGUUUUCGUUCUUACAAGUCAUCUGUCAAAGUCAAUGUUAAACGUCAUCUCUUUGCAUGCCUUGCGUGCGUUGCGUGUACUCGUGUACACCUAGACAAGGAACUUUCCUUGUCUAAGGUGUACACUCCGAGAGAGCAACACAUUUACGGGAGAGAUUAAAUAUCCAGCACGCAACCGCGCUGUUGCCAGAUUUACAUAGCGGGAAUUUUAAAAUUUCUAAUGCGAAUUGGUUUAAAAUUUGACAUCCGAAUCUUAACCUUACUUUUGUGAUUAUUUAUUUACAAAUAUUAUGUAAAUAAAUUGAAACAAGUAUUGUAUGUACUGUGUUAUAAUUUAAAACGCUUAAUUAUGUUAGUCUUAAAAAAAUUAAGCUCAAAAGAGAUAUACUUGUUUACAGUGCAAAUUAAUGGCAAUAGGGAUUUACGAUUUCAUUUGCAGGAAAAACAUGGGCAACCUACCCAGUUGGUAAAAUUUCAAUUCAAAAACUCUUUAGAUUUUACUGUGUGGAUGGCACAGGAAGAGAAACAAAAUAAUAUUCAGUACUGCAGUCACAGGAGUACAAAAACAUGAAGCAUCUUAUUAUGUAUGUAUGCCAUUCUCAAACAAUAAUUAUUGUACAAAACAAGAUAAAGAUAGAGACACAGCUUUAAAAUCCCAAGGAUCCUGCGAAAAGAAAAGUGAAAAUGUUGUCUCAAUUAAUGUAGUAUAGAUAGACAUUUUUCUUUAUUUUAGUAUUAAAUAAUUAUUUAGAAUAU
rnacentral:lncRNA from 1 species